GUGGGGAAUUUUGGACAAUGGGGGCAACCCUGAUCCAGCCAUUCCGCGUGAGUGAAGAAGGCCUUCGGGUUGUAAAGCUCUUUCGUCAGGAACGAAACGGCGGGCUCUAACAUAGCCUGUUAAUGACGGUACCUGAAGAAGAAGCACCGGCUAACUACGUGCCAGCAGCCGCGGUAAUACGUAGGGUGCGGGCGUUAAUCGGAAUUACUGGGCGUAAAGCGUGCGCAGGCGGAUUGUUAAGCAAGGAGUGAAAGCCCCGGGCUUAACCUGGGAAUGGCGUUUUGAACUGGCAGUCUAGGGUGCGUCAGAGGGGGGUGGAAGUCCACGUGUAGCAGUGAAAUGCGUAGAGAUGUGGAGGAACACCGAUGGCGAAGGCAGCCCCCUGGGAUGACACUGACGCUCAUGUACGAAAGCGUGGGUAGCAAACAGGAUUAGAAACCCGGGUAGUCC
rnacentral:rRNA from 1 species